rfam:Ornithorhynchus anatinus chromosome 15, whole genome shotgun sequence.
GGCAGCGUGGCCUAAUGGAAAGAGCACAGGUCUGGGAGUCAGAGGACCUGGGUUCUAAUCUCUGCUCUGCCA